rnacentral:lncRNA from 1 species
UGAACGCCUAUCUUAGUCGUAUUCAAUUGAAUACACUAGAAUGUGAAAGUGGUUAAAACGUAGAAAGAAAUAUUUCAUUUUAGGUUAACCGGCAUUUCACGAAGCUCCCUUUGUGGGUCCUGGCUUGGGUCCUUGGUCAACGUGGGAGACGCGAAAAUGUGAAGUUUAUUUUGAACCUGUCUGGAAAUUGUGUCAUAUUGACAUAGUCGUCAAUUUAUAUAAUAUUAAAUAACGGCUGUGAGGGUUUCGGUGAAAUCUGUCUUACCAUGAUGCCAGGGGACAGUCAGUCCAAAACGGCAGUAAUUGCCGCCGUUGGAAACUGUCAGAACUGCUCUGUUUUGCACCAGGUCAGAUCAUCUUUAUAUGAUAGAAAAGUCAAUUACAAAGUUUUGUUUCGUCUUUGUUGACUGAACAUAAACAGUCAUCAGCGAUUGUGACGUGAUUCAUCUGUUUUUAUCUUAUCAGCUCAGAACGUUGUUGGUAAUUAUGCAUUUUCCUUUGUUUGUUUUUGUUUUGAUUCGUCCCGUCUCUUAUUACAGAGCCUGACCGAAUAUGUGUCGUCAUUUCUGGCACUGAAACAGAAGAUACCGCUUUCUGAUGACACAAUCAGGCUUCAACAACAGCUGGAAGAGCUGCAGAUCAGAUUGGUUACUCUAGAGAAAAAGACGGCAGAUUAUGAAUCUGUGCAAGCAGAACUGGAGGAAAAGAAGGGUGCCCUUAAGACCUAUGAACAGAUGUCUGAAGAGAUGGAAAAAUUGAAGCACCAGAACAGCAAGACGAUGGCAGAGAAUAAGAAGCUUGAAGACCAGCUAAAGGAUGUGAAAGGUACUUAG